GGGUCCAUAGCUCAGUUGGGAGAGCGCUUGAAUGGCAUUCAAGAGGCCGUCGGUUCGAUUCCGUCUGGAUCCACCA
rnacentral:tRNA from 1 species